AGCUAGGGCGAGGCUGGGGAGCGCUGAGCAGCGCGUCGUGCCCUGUGCUGCCCAGACUAGCGAACAAUACAGUCAGGAUGGCUAAAGGUGACCCCAAGAAACCAAAGGGCAAGAUGUCUGCUUAUGCCUUCUUUGUGCAGACGUGCAGAGAAGAACAUAAGAAGAAAAACCCAGAGGUCCCUGUCAAUUUUGCAGAAUUUUCCAAGAAAUGCUCUGAGAGGUGGAAGACAAUGCCCGGGAAAGAGAAAUCUAAAUUGGAUGAAAUGGCAAAGGCGGAUAAAGUGUGCUGUGAUCGGGAAAUGAAGGAUUAUGGACCAGCUAAGGGAGGCAAGAAGAAGAAGGAUCCUAAUACCCCCAAAAGGCCACCGUCUGGCUUCUUCCUGUUCUGCUCAGAAUUCUGCCCCAAGAUCAAAUCCACAAACCCUGGCAUCUCUGUUGGAGACGUGGCAAAAAAGCUGGGUGAGAUGUGGAAUAACCUAAAUGACAGGGAAAAGCAGCCUUACAUCACUAAGGUGGCAAAGCUGAAGGAGAAGCACGAGAAGGAUGUUGCUGACUAUAAGUCGAAAGGAAAGUUUGAUGGUGCAAAGGGUCCCGCUAAAGUUGCCGGGAAAAAAUCGGAAGAGGAAGAUGAAGAAGACAAGGAGGAGGAGGAGGAGGAGGAGGAGGAGGAGGAGGAGGAGGAGGAGGAAUAAAAAAACUAUUUAUCUGUCUCCUUGUGAAUACUUAGAGUAGGAGAGUGCCGUAAUUGACACAUCUCUUACUUGAGAAGUGUCUGUUGCCCUCAUUAGGUUUAAUUACAAAAUUUGAUCACGAUCA